GUUAGUCUAGUUUUAUAAAGUGUACUUGUAGAAUAAACCCUUUAUUCAUUCUUCAGUAUUUUGCCACCGAAUAAAAUUAAUUUCUCAUUGUAAUAGUGUGUGUUAUUCAUAAUGUAGAGCAGGAAAAAAAGUAGUGAGGAACAUAACUCGUAUGAAGGCAGAGAGAAGAAAUAGGUGGCUGCAAGUUGUACGAUGGCGGCAACGGGAACAAAACGGUGGAGGAAAGAAACAGUAUACUGUGAAGAAUAAAAACUAAAAUAAAAUAAAAUUAGUGGUGAAACAGCUAUUAGCAUAGAGUUACGGUGACUUUCCCGCGUGAAAGUCAUUGAAGCCGCAUCCGUGUUUUUGCUACAAAUCACCUUCCAUAACACAAUUAUGAUCAAACCAAAAAUGUCCUCCUUUGAAUAAAUUAUUAUUAUUAUUAUUAUUAUUAUUAUUAUUAUUAUUAUUAUUAUUA